rnacentral:rRNA from 1 species
GGGUGCGAUCAUACCAGCACUAAUGCACCGGAUCCCAUCAGAACUCCGCAGUUAAGCGUGCUUGGGAGAGAGUAGUACUAGGAUGGGUGACCUCCUGGGAAGUCCUCGUGUUGCACCCC